ensembl:lncRNA
GGAAGGAAGGAAGGCAGGAAGGCAGGAAGGCAGGAAGGCAGGAAGGCAGGAAGGAAGGAAGGCAGGAAGGCAGGAAGGCAGGAAGGAAGGAAGGCAGGAAGGAAGGAAGGCAGGAAGGCAGGAAGGCAGGAAGGCAGGAAGGAAGGAAGGAAGGAAGGAAGGAAGGCAGGAAGGAAGGAAGGAAGGCAGGAAGGAAGGAAGGCAGGAAGGCAGGAAGGCAGGAAGGCAGGAAGGCAGGAAGGCAGGAAGGAAGGAAGGAAGGAAGGCAGGAAGGCAGGAAGGCAGGAAGGCAGGAAGGCAGGAAGGAAGGCAGGAAGGCAGGAAGGAAGGAAGGAAGGCAGGAAGGCAGGAAGGAUUGAUUGAGAGCUGAAGUCAGGAGCCUGAGGACGCGCAGUCAGGAGAGCUUAGAGAGGAGACCACUCCUCCUGCAGAGGAUGGGGAGAGGGCCCGGAGGGGUUGGAUCUGUCGGAGGUGGGCAGUUAC